AUAAGUUAGGUUUUUUCGAAAAAUUUAGUUUUGGUAUAAGUUAGGUUUUUAAGAAAAAGUUAGAUUUUUAAGAAAAAGUUAGGUUUUUAAGAAAAAGUUAGUUUUGGUAUAAGUUAGGUUUUUUAGAAAAAGUUAGGUUUUUUCGAAAAAGUUAGUUUUGGUAUA